AUUGAACGCUGGCGGCAGGCCUAACACAUGCAAGUCGAACGAGUGGCGGACGGGUGAGUAAUGUCUGGGAAACUGCCCGAUGGUGGGGGAUAACUACUGGAAACGGUAGCUAAUACCGCCUACCAUCGGAUGUGCCCAGAUGGGAUUAGCUAGUGGGCGGGGUAACGGCUCACCUGGGCGGCGGUCCCUAGCUGGUCUGAGCGGAUGACCAGCCACACUGGAACGGAGACACGGUCCAGACUCCUCCGGGAGGCAUCAGUGGGGAAGAUUGCACAAUGGGCGCAAUCCUGAUGCAGCCAUGCCGCGUGUAUGAAGAAGGCCUUCGGGUUGUAAAGUACUUUCAGCGAGGAGGCGUUACUCGCAGAGGAAGCACCGGCUAACUCCGUGCCAGCAGCCGCGGUAAUUC
rnacentral:rRNA from 1 species